GAUACAGUAUGCAAGUGGUCAGAAGCAAUCUGUUUACUAAACAGAAGUGCCCAAGAUAGGGAACUAGGGUUCGAAUCCCUACUGUAUCG
rnacentral:tRNA from 1 species